rnacentral:SRP_RNA from 1 species
CGCAGCGACGCCGCCGGCCCCGAAGGCGCCUCGUUCCUUCUCGUGCUCGACGCUCGGACGAUGCAGGAGGUCGCCCGCGUCGCCGCUCCACACACGGUGAACUUUGGCCUGCACGCGCACUGGUUCCAGCCCGG